rnacentral:misc_RNA from 1 species
GAUGAAGAACGUAGCGAAAUGCGAUAAGUAGUGUGAAUUGCAGAAUUCAGUGAAUCAUCGAAUCUUUGAACGCACAUUGCGCCCUUUGGUAUUCCUUAGGGCAUGCCUGUUCGAGCGUCAUUUAAACCUUCAAGCUCAGCUUGGUGUUGGGUGACUGUCCGCUUCACCGCGGACUCGCCUCAAAAUUAUUGGCGGCCGAUACAUUGGCUCUCGAGCGCAGCAGAAACGCGUAACUCGAGGUCCUCGUGCUGGCUCCCAGAAGCUAUCUUCACAAUUUUGACCUCGGAUCAGGUAGGGAUACCCGCUGAACUUAAGCAUAUCAAUAAGCGGAGGA